AGUAUAUAUAUAUAUAUAUAUAUAUAUAUAUAUAUAUAUAUAUUUAUUAUAUACAAAAGGCUUAAAACCGUAAAUACGAAAUUGUAUUUAACGAAGCAAAACGAAAAAAUGAAAUGAGUUUACGCAUAAGUUAAUAAUGAAAACUUAAAACAACAACAAUAUAAAAAAAAAUUACUGUUGUGCAUAUUUAUUAAUCGCGAGUGUGCCAUAGCCAUUAUCAUCAUCAUCAUCGUCAGCGUUUAAUCAUCAUUGACUUCAGAUUCUCUUUAAGAGCUGAUAGUUUAUGAUUCCAUCGGCAACCCUACUAAGGUUAGAGAUGUAUCUUCGGAACAACAACAACAACAAAAAAAAAAACUAAUCAAUUAUUUAUCUGAGGCUUAACACUUAAACCUCAAUAAAUGGAAUGAUGAAAUUAAAUGAAAAAGCGAAAAAAAAAAAACCGAACCGUUGGCAAUCAAGUGAGAGAGUGUAAAAAAUCUAUAAAAGAUAUUAAAUAUUUUGAAAAAAGUUGCCGGUCGAUUACUAAAUCGAAGUCAAUUAAAGCCGCAUGCACAAUAAAUAAUUACAAUUUCUAAACAAAAACACGCAAUGACUACAACAAGAAAAGUGUACGCAAAAUAAAUUA